rnacentral:rRNA from 1 species
CCAGUAGUCAUAUGCUUGUCUCAAAGAUUAAGCCAUGCAUGUCUAAGUUCACACCCUCGCACGGUGAAACCGCGAAUGGCUCAUUAAAUCAGUCGAGGUUCCUUAGAUGAUCCAUUUCUACUUGGAUAACUGUGGCAAUUCUAGAGCUAAUACAUGCGGACCAGCUCCGACCCGGUGUCGCAGCCGGGGAAGAGCGCUUUUAUUAGUUCAAAACCAGUCGGCGGGUUCGCCCUUCGCGGGGCGGCCCGUCGUCCCCUUUUGGUGACUCUGGAUAACUUUGUGCCGAUCGCAUGGCCUCGCGCCGGCGACGCAUCUUUCAAAUGUCUGCCCUAUCAAAUGUCGAUGGUACGCGAUAGGCCUACCAUGUUGGCUACGGGUAACGGGGAAUCGGGGUUCGAUUCCGGAGAGGGAGCAUGAGAAAGGGCUACCACAUCCAAGGAAGGCAGAGGCGCGCA